UUGCGCCAUUAUCGUUGGCCCUCGCUGACCCUGUGGGACGCUGGAGGUCAGUCGGCUGGGCCUUAUUGUGGAAAAUGCACCUAUGGCCUCCACCCCUACUGCCGCCGACCCAUGGCUUGGUCCUCAAACACCUGUAGAGAUCUGAGAAUACGGCAUUUAAUAUAAAAGCCUUUUUAUGAUAAAGAGACAUGUCAGCUCCUGGCAGCAUCCUGUAUCUCCUUCAAGAAGACGGAUGGCCCCAGAAGAACUUCCGCCCAGAAGCUUAUGGCAAGGCUGGCCAUGCAGUAAAAAGCUGGGAUCCUGUCCAGACUGUGAAUAAGCGGAACAGUGGAGGACCCAUUGCCUCACACUGCAAAGUCAAGCUAUCUUAGAGAUACUACAGGCUCCUGGAAAAAGAUCUGCUACUGCAUCAAGAAAUCUGGUCUGCUGAAAACUAACAUCUCCAGAGUCCAUUUCUGACCCCACCUAUUUUUCGAGCACACUUUGCAGAUUCGCUGUUCCGGCCUGACCUCCAGAGAAACAGCAACUGCCAUGGCCUCUAUACUCCUGAUUUGGUGUGCCGUCCCCCAAGCUCCUGGAACACCACUGCUGCAGCCUGCCUCCUCGGCUUCCUCAAGGAACGCUCCUGAGAUUUUCCGCUGUGUGACUCCCAGUUCCCCCGCCCCACUCCGCCCCUUGUCAGCCUGAAGUAGCCUCAAGAAUUCAGUGCCUUUGUUCCCCCACUUGCUUCCAUAACUCACUUCUUUUUAUAAUAAUCAAAACAGAGGAAUGUUAACAUUCUAAUUCACCCCUUGAAAUCUCACCCCUUGGCACCACCCUGUGUCCUGACAUAAAAGCCUCAUUCUAAGGAAAAACUCUGCCCCUUCCUCUCUCUCUCUCUUCUUAUUAUUUUUUUCUCUCUGUCUCUCUCUUUCCUAUCUUGCUCUUCAUCUCUCUAUUAGA